UGGGGAAUCUUCCGCAAUGGACGAAAGUCUGACGGAGCAACGCCGCGUGAGUGAAGAAGGCCUUCGGGUUGUAAAGCUCUGUUAUUCGGGAAGAACGAUUCGUUUGUGAACAAUGAACGGAAGUGACGGUACCGAAAGAGAAAGCCACGGCUAACUACGUGCCAGCAGCCGCGGUAAUACGUAGGUGGCAAGCGGUGUCCGGAAUUAUUGGGCGUAAAGAGCGCGUAGGCGGUAUGAUAAGUCUGUCUUAGAAGUGCGGGGCUUAACACCGUGAGGGGACAGAGACUGUCAUAAUAGAGUCUCGGAGAGGAAAGCGGAAUUCCUAGUGUAGCGGUGAAAUGCGUAGAGAUUAGGAAGAACACCGGUGGCGAAGGCGGCUUUCUGGACGAGCACUGACACUGAGGCGCGAAAGCGUGGGGAGCGAACAGG
rnacentral:rRNA from 1 species